CUGAGUUCCUGAUUCAGUAAAUCCAGGGAGGGGACUGACGAUUUGAAUUUCUAACAAGCUCCAGGUGAACUGCUCUCUGAAGAUCAGAAUUUGAGAAAGACUAAAUUAGCCAGUUCAGUGGUUUCCAAACUGGAGUCUUUUAUCUACCCAGAGAAUUUUUUGUUUGUUUAAAUGCAGAUUCCCAAGUCUACCCUGAGUUUACAGAAUCAAAAUUUCCAGGGUGCAAGACUUAAUCACUUGCACUGCUUUUAAGCUCAGCAAGUAUAUCAGUCCAUUUUGUAUAUCAGUCCAUUUUGAUACUGCUAUGAAGAACUGCCCGCAACUAGGUAAUUUAUGAAGGAAAGAGGUUUAAUGGACUCACAGUUCAACAUGGCUGGGGAGGCCUCAAGAAAAGCAGUCAUGGCAGAAAAGGAAGCAAGACACCUUCCUCACAAGGAACAGGAAAGGAAAGCGCCCAGUGAAGGGGGAAGAGCCUCUUAUACAAUCAUCAGAUCUCGCGAGAACUCACUCACUAGAAACUUGCCAGGAAACCACCUCCAUGAUUCAAUUACUUCCACCUGGUCUCUCCCUUGACAUGUGGGAAUUAUGAGGAAGGCAAUUCAAGAUGAAAUAUUGGGUGGAGACACAGCCAAACAUCACCUUGGGGCACAGGCUCAAAAACAGUCCACAGGAUACCAUCACUGAGCUGGAAUACAACAUGGGGCAUCUGAAAAGAAGAACCAAAAUAGAUGCCUGGUCUUCAACUAAAUUACCUGUUCAUCUUUUUCCAGGAAACCUUGGAACACCAAGGAAUCAGCAGUCAAACGAGCUCAGUCUCUCAGAACACAUGUGGGGGAAUUGAGUAUUUCAACUUUUAGGUAGACAGUUUCUACAAGCUAAAUAGUGGAACGAAAGGAGCCAAAUAAAGAAGUUAUAAAACACGUGCAUAUUUAGCCCCUACUUUUUAUUAAACUAAGACUUU
rnacentral:lncRNA from 1 species